AGCAGCCGCGGUAAUUCCAGCUCCAAUAGCGUAUAUUAAAGUUGUUGCAGUUAAAAAGCUCGUAGUUGAAUUUCGGGAUCAAUAUGUUGGUCGUGCCUCGGUACGUACUAGCAUAUUGGUUUCUCCUUUCUGAAGAGCCAUGAUGUCAUUUAUUUGGUGUCGUGGGGAAUCAGGACUGUUACUUUGAAAAAUUAGAGUGUUUAAAGCAGGCUCACGCUUGAAUACAUUAGCAUGGAAUAAUGAAAUAGGACGUUUGAUUCUAUUUUGUUGGUUUCUAGGAUCGACGUAAUGAUUAAUAGGGAUAGUUGGGGGCAUUAGUAUUCAAUUGUCAGAGGUGAAAUUCUUGGAUUUAUUGAAGACUAACUACUGCGAAAGCAUUUGCCAAGGAUGUUUUCAUUAAUCAAGAACGAAAGUUAGGGGAUCGAAGACGAUCAGAUACCGUCGUAGUCUUAACCAUAAACUAUGCCGACUAGGGAUCGGAUGAUGUUAACUUUUUAAUGACUCGUUCGGCGUACCG
rnacentral:misc_RNA from 1 species